rnacentral:rRNA from 1 species
UACGAAGGGGGCUAGCGUUGCUCGGAAUCACUGGGCGUAAAGCGCACGUAGGCGGCUUUCUACGUCAGGGGUGAAAUCCUGGAGCUCAACUCCAGAACUGCCUUUGAUACUGGAGAGCUUGAGUCCGGAAGAGGUGAGUGGAACUCCGAGUGUAGAGGUGAAAUUCGUAGAUAUUCGGAAGAACACCAGUGGCGAAGGCGGCUCACUGGUCCGGUACUGACGCUGAGGUGCGAAAGCGUGGGGAGCAAACAGG